AGAGUUUGAUCAUGGCUCAGAUUGAACGCUGGCGGCAGGCCUAACACAUGCAAGUCGAACGGUAACAGGAAACAGCUUGCUGUUUCGCUGACGAGUGGCGGACGGGUGAGUAAUGUCUGGGAAACUGCCUGAUGGAGGGGGAUAACUACUGGAAACGGUAGCUAAUACCGCAUAACGUCGCAAGACCAAAGAGGGGGACCUUCGGGCCUCUUGCCAUCGGAUGUGCCCAGAUGGGAUUAGCUUGUUGGUGGGGUAACGGCUCACCAAGGCGACGAUCCCUAGCUGGUCUGAGAGGAUGACCAGCCACACUGGAACUGAGACACGGUCCAGACUCCUACGGGAGGCAGCAGUGGGGAAUAUUGCACAAUGGGCGCAAGCCUGAUGCAGCCAUGCCGCGUGUAUGAAGAAGGCCUUCGGGUUGUAAAGUACUUUCAGCGGGGAGGAAGGGAGUAAAGUUAAUACCUUUGCUCAUUGACGUUACCCGCAGAAGAAGCACCGGCUAACUCCGUGCCAGCAGCCGCGGUAAUACGGAGGGUGCAAGCGUUAAUCGGAAUUACUGGGCGUAAAGCGCACGCAGGCGGUUUGUUAAGUCAGAUGUGAAAUCCCCGGGCUCAACCUGGGAACUGCAUCUGAUACUGGCAAGCUUGAGUCUCGUAGAGGGGGGUAGAAUUCCAGGUGUAGCGGUGAAAUGCGUAGAGAUCUGGAGGAAUACCGGUGGCGAAGGCGGCCCCCUGGACGAAGACUGACGCUCAGGUGCGAAAGCGUGGGGAGCAAACAGGAUUAGAUACCCUGGUAGUCCACGCCGUAAACGAUGUCGACUUGGAGGUUGUGCCCUUGAGGCGUGGCUUCCGGAGCUAACGCGUUAAGUCGACCGCCUGGGGAGUACGGCCGCAAGGUUAAAACUCAAAUGAAUUGACGGGGGCCCGCACAAGCGGUGGAGCAUGUGGUUUAAUUCGAUGCAACGCGAAGAACCUUACCUGGUCUUGACAUCCACGGAAGUUUUCAGAGAUGAGAAUGUGCCUUCGGGAACCGUGAGACAGGUGCUGCAUGGCUGUCGUCAGCUCGUGUUGUGAAAUGUUGGGUUAAGUCCCGCAACGAGCGCAACCCUUAUC
rnacentral:rRNA from 1 species